AUUGAACGCUGGCGGCAUGCUUUACACAUGCAAGUCGAACGGUAACAGGGUGCUUGCACCGCUGACGAGUGGCGAACGGGUGAGUAAUGCGUCGGAACGUGCCGAGUAGUGGGGGAUAACGCAGCGAAAGUUGUGCUAAUACCGCAUACGUACUGAGGUAGAAAGUGGGGGACCUUCGGGCCUCACGCUAUUCGAGCGGCCGACGUCUGAUUAGCUAGUAGGUGAGGUAAAGGCUCACCUAGGCGACGAUCAGUAGCGGGUCUGAGAGGAUGAUCCGCCACACUGGGACUGAGACACGGCCCAGACUCCUACGGGAGGCAGCAGUGGGGAAUUUUGGACAAUGGGCGAAAGCCUGAUCCAGCCAUGCCGCGUGUCUGAAGAAGGCCUUCGGGUUGUAAAGGACUUUUGUCAGGGAGGAAAUCCCUAGUGCUAAUAACACUGGGGGAUGACAGUGCCUGAAGAAUAAGCACCGGCUAACUACGUGCCAGCAGCCGCGGUAAAAC
rnacentral:rRNA from 1 species